rnacentral:rRNA from 1 species
AUGCUUCAGUCCUGUCAGUUGGGGGAUGCCUUUUGGACCAAAGCCAUACACUUUGGCUGGUCUAGGAGGGGUUUGGAAGCAGCGCAGCGAUUUUAUUCUCAGAUUCUAUCUGAAGGGUUUGCGAUCGUUGUGGAAAUCCCAUUCUCGCUACGGGAAUUAUUUUGUCCGAAAGAAAAAGAAAUACCAAAGUUUCAGAAUUAA